rnacentral:snRNA from 1 species
GUGCUCGCUUCAGCAGCACAUAUACUAAA